rnacentral:rRNA from 1 species
CCUACGGGUGGCAGCAGUGAGGAAUAUUGGUCAAUGGGCGCGAGCCUGAACCAGCCAAGUCGCGUGAAGGAUGACUGCCCUACGGGUUGUAAACUUCUUUUAUAAGGGAAUAAAGUGAGGCACGUGUGCCUUUUUGUAUGUACUUUAUGAAUAAGGAUCGGCUAACUCCGUGCCAGCAGCCGCGGUAAUACGGAGGAUCCGAGCGUUAUCCGGAUUUAUUGGGUUUAAAGGGAGCGUAGAUGGGUUGUUAAGUCAGUGGUGAAAGUUUGCGGCUCAACCAUAAAAUUGCCAUUGAUACUGGCAGUCUUGAGUGUAGUUGAGGUAGGCGGAAUUCGUGGUGUAGCGGUGAAAUGCUUAGAUAUCACGAAGAACCCCGAUUGCGAAGGCAGCUUGCUAAGCCAUCACUGACGCUGAUGCGCGAAAGCGUGGGUAUCAAACAGGAUUAGAUACCCGUGUAGUC